AACGAACGCUGGCGGCAUGCCUAACACAUGCAAGUCGAACGAAGGCUUCGGCCUUAGUGGCGCACGGGUGCGUAACGCGUGGGAAUCUGCCCUUUGGUUCGGAAUAACAGCUGGAAACGGCUGCUAAUACCGGAUGAUGACGAAAGCCCAAAGAUUUAUCGCCAGAGGAUGAGCCCGCGUUGGAUUAGGUAGUUGGUGGGGUAAAGGCCUACCAAGCCGACGAUCCAUAGCUGGUCUGAGAGGAUGAUCAGCCACACUGGGACUGAGACACGGCCCAGACUCCUACGGGAGGCAGCAGUGGGGAAUAUUGGACAAUGGGCGCAAGCCUGAUCCAGCAAUGCCGCGUGAGUGAUGAAGGCCCUAGGGUUGUAAAGCUCUUUUACCCGGGAAGAUAAUGACUGUACCGGGAGAAUAAGCCCCGGCUAACUCCGUG
rnacentral:rRNA from 1 species